rnacentral:rRNA from 1 species
UUUAUGGAGAGUUUGAUCCUGGCUCAGGACGAACGCUGGCGGCGUGCCUAACACAUGCAAGUCGAACGGAGUAUCUAAUUAAGUUUACUUAAUUAGAUGCUUAGUGGCGAACGGGUGAGUAACGCGUGGGUAACCUGCCCUUAAGACCGGAACAACAGCUGGAAACGGCUGCUAAUGCCGGAUGCAUUUAUCUGAAGGCAUCUUCGGAUAAAGAAA